CGAUUCUACUUGUCAAAUUGCCCAAGAAAUUGCUGAGAAAAUUCAACAACGAAAUCAAUAUGAAAGAAAAGGUGAAAAGGCACCAAAGCUUACCGUGACAAUCAGAGCUUUGUUGCAGAACCUGAAGGAAAAGAUCGCCCUUUUGAAGGACUUAUUGCUAAGAGCUGUGUCAACACAUCAGAUGUAUCCAUGUAAACAUUUCCACCUCUUUUCUAGAGUGGGAGGAAAAGCAGUCGUAUUUUAAGAAAGGAAGGAAUCUGGGCCACCCAGAUUUUCCCACAGCUUGAGGAAGACCUGGUUUCCAAAAUAUUGCCUGUAAUCUUGAUUUCUAUUUUAAGUGUCUGUUACAUGUUUUACAGUGAAUAUGCUGGCAAAGCAAGACCUACCGAGGGAAUUAACUUAUUUGGGUAUAACCUGUACAGUUCAGGAAGCUAAUGUUUUCCGUCAGUGCGGUAUUUACGGAGCCCCACACUGCUCUCUGUCUAGACCGCCUUGACCAUGGCUAGCUACUGCUCCAACAGGAAAACUUCCAUGAUCAUCCUAAGCUGUGAUUCCGCUUCUGGGAGUUUCCAGAGUUUUUAAUGAUCCAUUUAUUUUCGGAGUGGGCAAUACCAGUAGAAACCAUACAUCUCUCCUCUCACCACCUGCCCCGUGUUUAUGUAGAUUUGAGAUGUGCCUUAUUUUUCCUCCAGAGGCACAGACACUGCCUCUAGUAUGGGA
rnacentral:lncRNA from 1 species